rnacentral:rRNA from 1 species
UCUUAAUUGCCAGCAUUCAGUUGGGCACUUUAAAGAGACUGCCGGUGUUAAACCGGAGGAAGGUGGGAUGACGUCAAGUCCUCAUGGCCUUUAUGCUUAGGGCUACACACGUGCUACAAUGGGUGGUACAAAGAGAAGCCAACUCGCGAGAGCGCGCCAAUCUCAAAAAGCCAUCCUCAGUUCGGAUUGGAGUCUGCAACUCGACUCCAUGAAGUUGGAAUCGCUAGUAAUCGCGGAUCAGCAUGCCGCGGUCGAAUACGUUCCCGGGCCUU